UACGUAGGGGGCUAGCGUUGCUCGGAAUCACUGGGCGUAAAGGGCGCGUAGGCGGCCAUUCAAGUCGGGGUGAAAGCCUGUGGCUCAACCACAGAAUUGCCUUCGAUACUGUUUGGCUUGAGUUUGGUAGAGGUUGGUGGAACUGCGAGUGUAGAGGUGAAAUUCGUAGAUAUUCGCAAGAACACCAGUGGCGAAGGCGGCCAACUGGACCAACACUGA
rnacentral:rRNA from 1 species